AUGAAUUGCCUAAGCUGGAACUGUUGGGGGGCCAACAAACCGACAGUUCGUGAGUUAGUUGGCAUGGUUAAAUCAUUUCAUGCUAAGAUAGUCUUUUUAUGUGAAACUAGGCAGAGUUCUGAAAAAGUGAAGCGCUUGCGUGGUAGGUUAGGUCUAAGAGGUUUCUCUGGUGUUAGCUCUAAUGGCCUUAGUGGAGGUCUAGCUCUUUUUUGGUGUGAUAGUCUGCAUGUAGAAGUUCAGUCAUCUAAUGAAAGAUAUAUUGAUGUGUAUGUGAGGCUUUCUGAUCAUGAUCCUUUGUGGCGGUUGACGUGUGUCUAUGGCGAACCACGAACAGAAAACCAUCACAACAUGUGGACACUUAUGCAAAAUCUGAAACAGCAGUCUGACCUUCCGUGGUGUGUCAUUGGGGAUUUUAACGAGGCACUAUGGUCUUUUGAACACUUUUCUGCGACACCAUGUAAUGAAGCUCAAAUGUUGGCUUUCCGGGAUACCCUCGAGGUAUGUGGUUUAAUUGAUCUUGGUUUUUCUGGCUUACCAUUUACAUAUGACAAUAAGUAG
rnacentral:rRNA from 1 species